GGGUGUAGUUCAGUUGGUUAGAACGCUACCUUGACAUGGUAGAGGUCACAGGUUCGAGUCCUGUCAUCCUC
rnacentral:tRNA from 2 species